UACGUAGGGGGCUAGCGUUGUCCGGAAUCAUUGGGCGUAAAGAGCGUGUAGGCGGUCCGGUAAGUCCGUUGUGAAAGUCAAGGGCUCAACCCUUGAAUGCCGGCGGAUACUGUCGGGCUAGAGUCCGGAAGAGGCGAGUGGAAUUCCCGGUGUAGCGGUGAAAUGCGCAGAUAUCGGGAGGAACACCUAUGGCGAAGGCAGCUCGCUGGGACGGUACUGACGCUGAGACGCGAAAAGCGUGGGGGAGCGAACAGG
rnacentral:rRNA from 1 species